UACAGAGGAUGCAAGCGUUAUCCGGAAUGAUUGGGCGUAAAGCGUCUGUAGGUGGCUUUUUAAGUCCGCUGUGAAAGUCCAGGGCUCAACCCUGGAAUGCCGGUGGAAACUGUCGAGCUAGAGUCCGGAAGAGGCGAGUGGAAUUCCUGGUGUAGCGGUGAAAUGCGCAGAUAUCAGGAGGAACACCAAUGGCGAAGGCAGCUCGCUGGGACGGUACUGACGCUGAGACGCGAAAGCGUGGGGAGCAAACAGG
rnacentral:rRNA from 1 species